rnacentral:lncRNA from 1 species
GAAAUAGCCACCAUCAUCUGUGUAGACACAAGCAACUUAACAGUCAGACCUGUCCCUUUGCGCUCUGCCUUGCCUUUCUAUUUCAUUCCUUUCGUCACCUGGCUCCCAUUCCAUCCAGCAGCUCAUUCCGCUUUGCCUCUGGCUUCUGCCACUUUGUGUCCUAGGACUUGUCAAAAACUGCUCUCACUUAAUCUUACUAUUCCAUCUGCUCGUCUUCUGCCUGCCACCUUGGCCUUCAUCUUUUUUUCCAUUCCACGCAUUCUCCCCGGCAGCUCAGAACCUCAAAAGCAACUUCAAAUACACCAAAGACUUGCAAACCUAUAUUUCCAGCUCAGCCUCUGUCUUGAAUUCCAGAACCACAGGCUGGAACAACUGUCAACUGAAUCUCAAGCCUGGAGGUCCCUCUGGUGCCUCACAUUACAUAAAUCCACACCUGAAUUAGUCAUCUUCCCCUGCGCACUGCGCCAUCUUCUGUAUUCACCAUCACGAGCAGUGGCACCUCUGUGCAUUCAAUUACCCAAGCCAGAGACCUGGGGGUCAUCCUUAAAGUCACCAUGCCCUCCCUACUUCUCCCCUCCUCCUCCUCUCCCAACUCUAUCAGUCUCAGUUCAGACCUCAAAUCCACACCAGGAUUCAAGAGUUUUUUUACGCAACUUCUCUUUUCCACUCCCCCAUCCUCACACCCCAUCCAUUCUCUACCAUACACCCAGAGCGAUCACUCUAAAAGAACACCCCAAAAUGAUCAACUUCACCUGGACCAAAUACAGCUCACAAGACCCUCCUGAAAGUGGCUCCAGCCUCUGCUCUCCAUCUUCAGGCUCAUCACUGCCCCUGAUGUGCACCAGCGACAUGGAACGACCAGCUGUUCCACAGACGCUCGGCUGUCUUCAGUGCCUUCACUGCACUGUCUUCCCUGGUCCCUCUGCUCAGAAUGGUUUCCGCCAGCCCACUCCCAUCCUCAGCUGCCUAGUCCCUGCUGACUCGCUCUUCCAGACUCAGCUCUAG